UGAGCUAAUACCGCAUAAUGCAGCGGCUCGACAUCGAGACAGUUGUUAAAGCGGGGGAUCGUAAGACCUCGCGCCUAAAGAGGAGCCUGCGGCAGAUUAGCUAGUUGGCAGGGUAAUGGCCUACCAAGGCGACGAUCUGUAACCGGCCUGAGAGGGCGGUCGGUCACACUGACACUUGAAUACGGGUCAGACUCCUACGGGAGGCAGCAGUCGGGAAUUUUGGGCAAUGGGCGCAAGCCUGACCCAGCAACGCCGCGUGAAGGAUGAAAUCCCUCGGGAUGUAAACUUCGCAAGAACGGGAAGAAUAAGUGAAAGCGAAUACCUUUCAUGAUGACGGUACUGUUUGUAAGCUCCGGCUAACUCCGUGCCAGCAGCCGCGGUAAUACGGGGGGAGCAAGCGUUGUUCGGAUUUACUGGGCGUAAAGGGCGCGUAGGCGGCCACGACAAGUCACUUGUGAAAUCUCCGGGCUUAACUCGGAACGGUCAAGUGAUACUGUCGGGCUAGAGUGCAGAAGGGGCAACUGGAAUUCUCGGUGUAGCGGUGAAAUGCGUAGAUAUCGAGAGGAACACCUGCGGCGAAGGCGGGUUGCUGGGCUGACACUGACGCUGAGGCGCGAAAGCCAGGGGAGCGAACG
rnacentral:rRNA from 1 species